GACGAACGCUGGCGGCGUGGAUUAGGCAUGCAAGUCGAACGGUAUCAUCCUUUCGGGGGUGAGAGAGUGGCGAACUGGUGAGUAACACGUAGGUUAUCUACCCUCAAGACGGGGACAACCCAGGGAAACUUGGGCUAAUACCGGAUGUGAGCAACUUUUAGUUGUUUGAAAGGUGGCGUAAGCUGUCGCUUGGGGAUGAGCCUGCGUCCUAUUAGUUAGUUGGUGAGGUAACGGCUCACCUAGGCAAUGAUAGGUAGGCGGCCUUAACGGGUGGUCGCCCACACUGGGAUUGAGAUACGGCCCAGACUCCUACGGGAGGCAGCAGUCGAGAAUAGUCUACAAUGGUCGGAAGACUGAUAGUGCGACGCCGCGUGAACGAUGAAUCCCUUCGGGUGUAAAGUUCUUUUAUAUGUGAGCAGUGCUUCUUAUAUUAACAGUAUGGGGAGAGAGAUAUUAGCAUAUGAAUAAGCAACGGCUAACUCCGUGCCAGCAGCCGCGGUAAAACG
rnacentral:rRNA from 1 species